CUGAGAGUUUGAUUCUGGCUCAGAACGAACGCUGGCGGCAGGCUUAACACAUGCAAGUCGAACGAUAUAGUGGCAGACGGGUGAGUAACGCGUGGAAACGUGCCUUUCACUACGGAAUAGCUUUUGGAAACGAAAGGUAAUACCGUAUACGCCCUCCGGGGGAAAGAUUUAUCGGUGAAAGAUCGGUCCGCGUUAGAUUAGCUAGUUGGUGAGGUAAGAGCUCACCAAGGCGACGAUCUAUAGCUGGUCUGAGAGGAUGAUCAGCCACACUGGGACUGAGAC
rnacentral:rRNA from 1 species